rnacentral:sRNA from 1 species
GGAGGAAGGNGGGGACGACGUNCAGUUCAUCAUGGCCCUUACGAGUANGGGCUACACACGUGCUACAAUGGCGCAUACAGAGGGCAGCCANCUUGCGAGAGUGAGCGGAUUCCCAAAAAGUGCGUCGUAGUCCGGAUCGGAGUCUGCAACUCGACUCCGUGAAGUCGGAAUCGCUAGUAAUCGUGGAUCAGAAUGCCACGGUGAAUACGUUCCCGGGCCUUGUACACACCGCCCGUCACACCAUGGGAGUGGGCUGCAAAAGAAGUAGGUAGUUUAACCUUCGGGAGGACGCUUACCACUUUGUGGUUCAUGACUGGGGUGAAGUCGUAACAAGGUAGCGCUAGGGGAACCUGGCGCUGGACCACCUCCUUAUACGAUGAUUACUCACGAUGAGUGUCCACACAGAUUGAUACGGUUUAUAAAGUAAAAGAGACGAUACUGGGUCUGUAGCUCAGGUGGUUAGAGCGUUCGCCUGAUAAGCGAGAGGUCGGUGGUUCGAGUCCACUCAGACCCACCAAUUUCCUUUGAAGUUGGUAUGCAGUAUCGACACCUUGAUGGGGCUAUAGCUCAGCUGGGAGAGCGCCUGCCUUGCACGCAGGAGGUCUGCGGUUCGAUCCCGCAUAGCCCCACCAUCUUUAAGUGUUCUUGCAAAAGAAUCUUUAAAAAUGGUUUCAUUAAGAAAUCUGCUCUUUAACAAUUUGGAAAGCUGACAAAUCAACAAUUUAUUGUUGAUUGUAAAGUUCUCAAUGUUUGUCUUUAAGACAAACACCAAUACAACACAUUCAAGUGUUCUUGGAAUUUGAGUCCGGCAAAAUCGAGUCUGCAUCAUGUAUAAAAAUUGCAGACAACUUUGGUGACUUGUUCAUCAACUCGAAACUCCUUCGGGUUGUAUGGUUAAGUGACUAAGCGUACACGGUGGAUACCUUGGC